CGGGGCCUGCAGGGGCACGGUCACAGUGUGGCUCAGGCUCUCCGAGUGGUUUGGCACUGGAUCACAGGUGCUCUGCCAUGGAAAAGCAGGGAAUGCGUUAUUCCACCUAUAGUAGAGGGAUAAAAUGUUUCGAAAAUCAUGCGAUAUUCAGAGGAGCUGGAAAAAGGUUGGGCCUGGUAGGUGUCACCGUCAUGUUUUCUGGAAAAAUCCCCUUGCCCAGGAUUCUUCUCCUGGGAAGCUGAGAAGCCUCAGAGAAAAAGGAAAACAAUAUUAUCUCAUUUGCUUCUCCUGUGUUGUGCUCAUGUGGAAUGUGUUUGGAGAUUGUUCACCCACAGGUGAUUGUUUCACUGGGUUCUGCUGUGAGUUGUUUUCACUCUUUGGCCAAUCAGGGCCAAGCUGUGUCAGGACUCUGGAAAGAGUUAUGAGUUUUCAUUAUUAUCUUUUAGUUUUCUCUAAGUAUCCUUUCUGUAUUCUUUAGUAUAGUUUAGUAUAGUAUUAUUUCAUAUAGCAUAGUAUAAUAAAAUAAUAAAUUAGCCUUCAAGACCAUGGAGUCAGCUACAUCAUUCCUGCCUUCAUCUGGGAACCUUGUAAAUACAAGAGGCAGGCUCUGGGAAAAUGUAAGGCUUUACUGGAUCAUGCUAAACUGCACCUGUAUAAUCAUUAAUUACCAUGAUAAUUGAUAUGAUUAUUCAAUGAUAAAUGAUAUGAUUGUUAAAUGCAAUGAUUGUUUGGUAAUUGUGUCGCCCUGUUCUUCUAAAGUUCUUCCAAGCCUUUGGAUGUUUACAUUUUUGUGAUGGAGUUUCUCACGCAAUUUCACGUAAAUAGGGAUUGUUUGCAUUCCUUUCUGGAGGAGGAGAGAAUUGAUGGACUGUUGGUUUGACCGGUGUGGUUGGAGGGGUGGCAAUUUCAUCCUCCAAUCCAUGGUUACUUUUGGAAUUCUGUAAAUAUCGAGGUCCAGAGAUAAAUGUGCUUUUUUGCCUUGGACAUCUCAGCCGUGUGAGUGUCAUUAAUUUCAUGUCAUAUUGCGACAGUAACUGGAUAGAAUUAUUGUUUAAUUGUAACAGGAAUCAUGAGAAACGAUAUUUGGGGGGUUUGAUGGAGAUUACAAAAAUCCAUGCUUGGAUGAAAUCAAUGUAUACAAUAGAACAAUUUAAGUUUAAUAAUGAAUAUGUAGUUAUAUAACAAUAAGGGUAUAAAAACAUGUUCAUCCUGAACCCAUGUCAGAGUCAGAUUUGGAUCUGUGCCCCUGACACCCAGAGCUCUUCAGUAAAAGCACCUUCACAUGAUCCUUCCCUGAUUAUGUGUUCCUGAGCACUAACACCACAGCUGCUGGGGGCUCCCAGGAGUGAAACAGUUCCUGCCUCAAACACUGACAGAAAGUUCUGCUCCUUGUAACAAGAACUGAUAAAGGAGAUGUGGAAAACGAGGUUUACUCUUUUGGAGCCACAGGUACAGAAAUCUCAUUGGAGAGCUUUGGGCUGGAAGUCAAACUGCAGGGAUUGGAUAAAGGGAAACCUUCCUUCAAUCCCCUCAACAGCCAAGGCUGAGGGGAGCAGUGCAUCCACCAGAAACACAGCAGAGGCUGCCCUGGCUGGGUUUGGGGCUGGAGAGACUGAAACAGCUCAUACCUCAAAUACUGACACAAAGUUCAGCUUGCUGUAACAAAACUGAUAAAGAAGGAGAGAAGCCUCCCUGAAGAUACCUGGCUGGGACUUUGGAUUGUAAAUUAAACCUAAUUCAGAUAAAGGGAAACCCAUUCCUUAAUUAUCCCCUUAAUUAGAAACCCAUUCCUUAAUCAUCUCAAGCUAAGGAAAACAAACACGGCUGAGGGAGAGGAAUGCACCCACCAGAAAACCAAAGACAGCACAGACCCUUCCCUGGCUGGGUUUGGGGUGGGGGAGACUGAAACAGAUCAUGCCUCAAACACUGACACAAAGCUCUGCUUGCUGUAACAAAACUGGAGAAAGAAGGAACAGCCAGAGAAACCUCCCUGAAGAUGCCUGGCUGGGACUCCGGAUUGUAAAUGAAACCUGUCUCUGUCCCUCUCUUUCUGUUCCCCCACCUAUUUUCCAUUUAUUUCCCUUGGUUUUUCUCUCUUUUCUCUCUCCCUCUCAUAUUUACUAUCCAAUAAACCCCAGACUAUCAUCUGGCAUCUGGUCCCGUUUGCAGUUUGGCUGGGGUAGAGGCAUCUCUAAUUAUAAUUUUAAUAACCAGAUCCUAACACACGUGGGAAGAGCUCCAGCAUCCCCAGGGCAUUUUCCCUUUGUAGGAAUGUGUCCUCUGUUGAUGGAGUGACCAAAUUAUCCUUUGUCUCCUUAAAAAGGGAAAAGGCCCAGAAGUUUCUCUCCUCAAUUGGGUAAAAAGACAACUCAUAGCACCUUGGGGACUUCACCUCAAACUUAAGGAUACCCAAUUGGACAGAGGCCAAGAGGUCCUGCCUGAGCCAUUUACUGGGAAAAGAAGAGAACAAAGGAAAUAAUUGUUUUUGUGAGGUGUUUUAGCAGGAGCAAGAACCUCUUGCCCCUGGCUCGGGUUUUCUCUGUAAAGAGCUUUGUUAUUUUGCCUUUUAUUAAAACUUUCCUGUUUCCAACACU